AUGCCGCAGUUCUUCUAUUCCCAACUUUACGGUAAAGAUACAGAAUGUGACGCGGAGGCGCACCUCCAGCCUGGACAGAGCCCAGCGCGCUGAGGACACGAAGGACACAGGCUGACCGAGCAGAUCGGCUCCUCCGACCGCAGCGGUCGCUGCAGACUGUCGGUCCUGCUGAUCCGGGGAUUCAUCCGCUUUUAAUCCUUCAGAGGCGGCGCUAAAGAACCAAAGAUUCCCUAAGCGGUCAGAAAAAAAACAAGCAGACAUGUCCAGCAACCAAAGAGAAAUUGGAGGUUCAACAAACUCCAAUGAGACAAAGAAAAUGGACCCGAGAUGGAAUGAGAAGAAGUGCUCAUGGGCCUCCUAUAUGACAAACUCUCCAACUAUGAUUGUGAUGAUCGGCCUUCCUGCAAGAGGAAAGACCUACAUGUCAAAGAAACUCACACGUUAUCUUAACUGGAUUGGAGUCCCGACCAAAGUGUUUAACUUGGGUGUGUAUCGCAGGGAGGCAGUCAGAGCCUAUAAAUCCUAUGAUUUCUUCCGCCACGACAAUAAGGAAGCCAUGAAAAUUAGAAAGCAGUGUGCUCUGGUGGCUCUGCAGGACGUGAGGGUCUACCUGACAGAGGAGUGGGGUCAGAUUGCAGUUUUUGAUGCAACAAACACGACGAGGGAAAGGCGGGAUCUUAUUCAAGAUUUUGUGAAGGAAAAUGGCUUCAAGGUGUUUUUUGUGGAGUCGGUGUGUGACGACCCAGACGUUAUUGCUGCCAAUAUUCUGGAAGUUAAAGUCUCCAGUCCAGACUACCCUGAGAAACACAGAGAGAGGGUAAUGGAGGAUUUCCUGAAACGGAUAGAGUGCUACAAGGUCACCUAUCAACCAUUAGAUCCUGACCAAUAUGACAAGGACCUCUCCUUUAUCAAGGUUAUAAAUGUGGGCCAACGUUUCCUGGUGAACCGAGUGCAGGACUAUAUCCAAAGCAAGAUAGUGUAUUACCUCAUGAACAUCCACGUGCACUCACACUCCAUUUACCUGUGUCGACACGGAGAGAGCAACCACAACAUGGAAGGACGCAUCGGAGGAGACUCUGAGCUUUCUCCAAGAGGAAAACAGUUUGCCCACGCCCUGCGAGAUUUCAUUGAUGAGCACAAACUGUCGGACUUGAAGGUAUGGACAAGCCAGCUGAGGAGGACCAUCCAGACCGCAGAAGAGCUGGGUGUGCCGUACGAGCAGUGGAAAAUCCUCAACGAGAUCGAUGCGGGGGUAUGCGAGGAGAUGACUUACCAAAUGAUUCAGGAGACUUUUCCAGAGGAGUUUGCUUCGAGAGACCAGGAUAAAUACCAUUACCGCUACCCAGGAGGAGAGUCCUACCAAGAUCUUGUGCAGCGUCUUGAACCAGUUAUCAUGGAGUUAGAGAGACAAGGCAAUGUGCUGGUAAUCUGCCACCAGGCGGUGAUGCGUUGUCUUUUGGCUUACUUCCUGGACAAGGGUGCAGAUGAUCUGCCAUACAUGAAAUGUCCCCUCCACACAGUUCUUAAGCUAACUCCAGUUGCAUAUGGUUGUAAAGUGGAGAUGUUUUACCUAAAUGUGGAGGCGGUAAACACACACCGAGACCGGCCACUUGGUAAAAAUCCAAGGGAGUCUGCUCUCAUACAUCGGAGGAAUAGUUACACUCCCUUGUCAAGUCACGACCAGGUCAAGCGGCCCAGGCUCUACAGCGCUGGCAACCAGCCAUGGCUACCGCUCGCCCCUACCCCAUCGGCUCUGAUGCCCGAGAGUCUGCAAAGCCAAGUUAGUGACAGAAUUACAGGCUGACCCUCUAAAUCUGUCAGCGUCACCUGUAAUCAGUCACCUCCCACCACAAUUGUGACCCUGUGUUUAGUCCUUUUGCCUCAGUUCUGGACCUUCUUGAUGUGUGUGUGUGUGUUGCAAAUGACUAUAAAUGUCACCGCUGCAUUUGUAUUUCUUUCUCAGGGCGUGUUUUGCAUCUUGAAAGAGCUGCUCUGUCCUUCUGCUGAUUGUCCUGCAUGAUCCUUUACUCACAAAACACUGUCUCCAGCUUGAAUGUGCAGCGCAGCAUGCCAACUCUUUGCUAUUUUUUUUUACAUUUUCUGCUACCCAAAGACACACAAACAUUAGAAGUAUUUAUUUACAAAUUAUUACACUUAUAUGAUUAUAUAACAUAAAUGCAAGCAAAGAGUUGAAGGGGAAACAAAAGUAUUUCCUAAUAUUGCAAACGUACUGGUAGAUUUAAGUACCGUGCAAUCAUUGGCCUGGCAUUGUGGUACAGAGCUUCUGUCUUUCUCCACAUUUCUGUCUGUCUUCUCUCUCUCCGCUUCCUCAAAACCUGUCUUACAGACUCGGACAGGAGGCAGUUGUUUGAGUCCCUGUGUGAAGGAUUCGACUUUGACAGCAGCGAAGAAUCUAGUGGAUGCGUCCGUUUCUGACUGAAGGUUGGAUCCUCUUCCGCUUUUCUUCACAGCUUAUCAGCUUUUUCAUGAGCCAAAC